AUGGGGGCAUGCCACUUGGUCCGUGGCCUGGCUCCACGCUGGGGAUUGGAGCAGCCGAGGGGCCAGGCGGGGGGCCACCGACAGGCGUCCUUCGCGCAUCUCCGUCAUCUCCUGCAGCAACAGAGGCCCUGCCCGCCUGGGCCACCGCCAAAGCUUGCUUUGGCUUUCUUUUGCGCCUCCCUUUACUGGCGCGGCCACGCAUGUUGGUGGGGCCAUGCUGAUCGCGCUGCUGCUCCAGCUGACCACGCUGCCCAGGCCAGGACUCUAUGGCGCAGCCGCGACGGUGUACGGACGGCGGCGCAACCGCGGAGGGCGGCGCGGGCCAUGCAGACGCGACGGACAGACCGUCGGUGCGCGCAGCGCGGUUCCCAACCCGCCACCCCAGGGAGUCGACGGCCAUGCCAUCAGCCGGCCGNNNNNNNNNNNNNNNNNNNNNNGCUUGCGACCGCGGCGACGCGCACGGCCAGGGCCGCUGCCACGAGCAGGGCCGUCGCCAUCACCGGCCGGUCCGUCGCGAGCGCCAGCACGGGGAGCUGGGGCGCCGAUCCUCUCCGCACGGGCCAGCGCGAUGGAAAUCGGGUAGGUGAGGGUCCGGAUGGCAGGCGCCUCCGAGCCCACGCGCGCGGGGAUCUGUUCCACGAUUUCCAGGAUGGCGGCGCGGCGGAUGUUGGCAGGAUCAUGCGUGCGCCCCGCCAGCCGGAAGACAGCCAAAUCAGCCCUAGAACGCGUGCCGGGGUGGAGUCUCUCAAUCCAGCAGCUCUCCCCAAGAAUAUGCUCGGCCGUCGAGAGGUGCCAUGCCUGAGCGGGGAUGCCCCGGAGCUCAAGCUCGACGCGGUGCUCGAACUGGCCGGAGCCCGCAUGAGCCAGCUUGCUCCAGGGUCGCACAGAGAGGGAGAACCGCGGGGAGCGGAUGAAGUGAUCACCGUUGAGGCGAUCCAUGGUCGAGCGCGAGUUGAAGAGGAUCAGAAAAUCUUCGGGGUGAUGGACGUGAACUGUGAAGUCACCGUCGACGAGCUCGAGGGAGGAGAUGAGCACGUCGGCGACCUCGGCAGCGGACACGGGUGGCCUGUUGCCAGUAAUGGAGGCCACCAUCGCGCGGGUGAGAACCACCUCGGCCUCCUCCAUCUCAACCGAGUGCGACAUGAUGACCCGCACCGGUGCGGGGGCGGGAGCCAAGGGAGCGCGGACCACCGGAGCAGCAGGUGGUGGCGGCGACGGCGUUGUGGCCCGAGGCGCAGCCCCGCGAACAGCAGGGCCCGAGCGGCCGGAGUCGGCCCGGGAACAUGUGUCAGACCCUGA
rnacentral:rRNA from 1 species